UACGGAGGGUGCGAGCGUUGUUCGGAAUUAUUGGGCGUAAAGCGCUCGUAGGCGGUUUGUCGCGUCUAAUGUGAAAACCCGGGGCUCAACCCCGGGCCUGCAUUCGAUACGGGCAGACUAGAGUUCGGUAGGGGAGUCUGGAAUUCCUGGUGUAGCGGUGAAAUGCGCAGAUAUCAGGAGGAACACCGGUGGCGAAGGCGGGACUCUGGGCCGAUACUGACGCUGAGGAGCGAAAGCGUGGGGAGCAAACAGG
rnacentral:rRNA from 1 species